rnacentral:rRNA from 1 species
CAUGUAGGCGGCUGGGAAAGCGUCAAGUGAAAUCCCUCGGCUCAACCGAGGAACGGCUUGGCGAACUUCCCGGCUUGAGGCAAGUAGGGGUGCGUGGAACUCUUGGUGGAGCGGUGAAAUGCGUAGAUAUCAAGAGGAACGCCGGCGGCGAAAGCGGCGCACUGGGCUUGUCCUGACGCUGAGAUGCGAAGGCUAGGGGAGCGAACG